rnacentral:rRNA from 1 species
UGGAAGUAAAAGUCGUAACAAGGUCUCCGUUGGUGAACCAGCGGAGGGAUCAUUACCGAGUUUACAACUCCCAAACCCAAUGUGAACGUUACCAAACUGUUGCCUCGGCGGGGUCACGCCCCGGGCGCGUCGCAGCCCCGGAACCAGGCGCCCGCCGGAGGAACCAACCAAACUCUUUACUGUAGUCCCCUCGCGGACGUUUUUACUUACAGCUCUGAGCAAAAAUUCAAAAUGAAUCAAAACUUUCAACAACGGAUCUCUUGGUUCUGGCAUCGAUGAAGAACGCAGCGAAAUGCGAUAAGUAAUGUGAAUUGCAGAAUUCAGUGAAUCAUCGAAUCUUUGAACGCACAUUGCGCCCGCCAGUAUUCUGGCGGGCAUGCCUGUCCGAGCGUCAUUUCAACCCUCGAACCCCUCCGGGGGGUCGGCGUUGGGGAUGCGGGAACCCCUAAGACGGGAUCCCGGCCCCGAAAUACAGUGGCGGUCUCGCCGCAGCCUCUCCUGCGCAGUAGUUUGCACAACUCGCACCGGGAGCGCGGCGCGUCCACGUCCGUAAAACACCCAACUUUCUGAAAUGUUGACCUCGGAUCAGGUAGGAAUACCCG